GACCUCGGUAAGGCGUGCACAGACCUGCCUGUCUGCAGCGGGCUGAUUCAUCGCGUUCCGUGCCACUCGGGACCUCGGUAGAGUGUGGGCAGACCUGCCGGUCUGCAGCGGGAUGAUUCAGCAUCUUCCAUGUGACUCGGGACCUUGGUAGGGCGUGCACAGACCUCCCUGUCUGCAGCAGGCUGAUUCGGCGUGUUCUGUGCGACUCGGGACCUCGGGUCACCACAUUGCCCAGACUGGGCCCAAGCUUGCCAUUCUCCUGCCUCAGCCUCCCAGAUUGCUGUGAUUACAGCUCUCCUGAACCACUUUCAUCCUCCUUUUUCGAGCUGGAUUCUCAACUCUCUUGCUGGGCUCCCAUGUCCUUUCCUGCAACACUGGCUGGUCACAUGCAGGGGACAGAGGCUGCAGAGCACUUCUGCUCUGGGCAUCCACGUGCUUUCUGCCACCCACGAGUAGCUGAGUUCUCCCAGGGGACAGCAGUGGAAGGAGGGCCCCUCUGCUAUGCCUGAGAACAUCUGCUGAACUGGAAUCAUGGGGUCCAGAAUAUGCUGAAUACAGGUGGAUUGUGCUUCUGUGCCCAUUUUAUGAGCAAGGAAAUUGAAGGCAACAGGCUGGAAGACUUACUGAAGUCCACCUAACCAGUAAAUGAGCUAUCCAAGAGACCUCUUCUGCCUCUCCCCUUCCUGCCCACCGUGGGCUUCAAAGGUGUAUCUCAGCUCUGCCCCUGGGGCUCUUAGAAAAGAGUUUUCCUUGAGUCUCAGUGGAGACUUUCGACUUGGACUUUUCAACAAUGCUGAAACUGUUAAGACUUUGACAACUCUUAGAGAUGGACUAAAUGCAUUCUGCAUAAAAAGAUGAGCAUGAGUCUCUUGGAGAUCAAGGCCAGAAUGGUAUGGUUUCAGUUAAAAAUGUACCCUAAAGCCUCAUGCACUCAGAAGCUUGGCUUUUGGAAGGUGAUUGGAUCAUGGAUUCACAGCUGAACAUCCUCUUAGGGGUGG
rnacentral:lncRNA from 1 species